ncrna:unclassified sequences C4 antisense RNA
CGCUAUGGUGGCUGUGCGCGGGAUACCUUCGGGUAUGCCGGUUUCCUUAAUCUCCGGUCCGCGAACCUGCGCACAGCUGCCACCCUC